AACAAGGCGUACCUGCGGACCUGCGGAAGGAUCAUUACUGAGUCACGUGCUCAAACAACCCUUCUGUGGACCUGAAAUAAAACCGUUGCCUCGGCGGGCGGUCCCCCCCAAACCAACCCCACGUGGUGGGUUAGGGGAGACCAGACAGUCCGGUACGCUUAAGGCGUCCGGCGCCAGCCGCUGGCCCCAAACAAUUAAACUCUAGUAAUCUUUAUCUUCUGAGUUUCAAUAUUUAAAAAU
rnacentral:misc_RNA from 1 species